CAGUCGUGGGACGCUGGUUUUGCCCCAACUACCUUGCGCGGCGCGGCUGUUGCUCCCCGUGUCCUGUGAGCUUGCGCAGGCCCAGCUGCGUCCCACCUGCCCCCCACCUGCCCAGAAUGCGACCUUGCUGUGUGCGCAGUGCCCUGCCGGGAUCUGAGCGGCCAGCUCUCCGCCUUCUCCCCCACAGCCCUUGCUGCAGAUUUUGUAACCGUGGGAACAACCCAGGAAUCGUUUACAGGCGGUGCUCACGUUAGUUAACACCCCGCUUAAGUGCUCUUGUGAGAGGCUUUUUGUUGUGUUUUUGAGACAGGGGCUCACUGUGUUGUCCAGGCUGGACUCGAACUCCUAACCCCAAGCCAUUUUUCUGCAUUAGCCUCCUAAAGCGCGGGGAUUACCGGCGUGACCCCUGACACCUGGCUGAGAGGUGUUUUUAAACAAGGAUUUCAUCUUACUGUUCCGAAGUUAUAAGCAUUCAUUUCUCUUCCCUGUCUUCUGUUUCGUCCUUAUGGACACAUUUAUACAGUUAUUCAGUUGCUGAGAUUGAGGACGCACCUAGAAGUGAGGCUGAAGACUGAGUUGCUUCUGAGAACGACUUGACUUUAUUUUCCAAUACAGUACUGUAUGAGUAAACAGCCAGGGAGAUCAGAUUGAGG